UACGAAGGGGGCUAGCGUUGCUCGGAAUGACUGGGCGUAAAGGGUGCGUAGGCGGCCUGACAAGUCUGAUGUGAAAUCCCUGGGCUCAACCCAGGGCCUGCAUCGGAAACUGUCGGGCUUGAGUAUGGGAGAGGUGAGUGGAAUUUCCGGUGUAGCGGUGAAAUGCGUAGAUAUCGGAAGGAACACCUGUGGCGAAAGCGGCUCACUGGACCAUUACUGACGCUGAGGCACGAAAGCUAGGGGGAGCAAACAGG
rnacentral:rRNA from 1 species